GUCAGCCUCAUAAUUUUUGUUCUCAGAUCAAUCAAGUUAUGACCCAGGAAAAGAACUGCACGCAAUCUCCAGGGCGCUCUUCACUCAUAGUUUCAUCCUCUCAUCUGGAAGUCUGGCAUAAUAUUGCCUACAAAAGGUUUCCUGGCUGCUCUGAAUAAGAACACCUUCUCCCAGAAGACCUGGGGCAACUGGAGUGAGCUGUGCUUCCAGAGAUCCCACCAGCUCUUCCCAGAUUGUCAUUCACAUGGAAACUGGGAAGACACUUAGACCGCAGAAGAGGGGUAAGUAUUUUCAAACCUAGGAAGGUCUCUUUGAACCUGGUGCCCUUUUUAGUCUUCCCAGCCAAAGGAGACAUGCACACAGAUGUCUGGGGAGGUGCGAGCUGCUGGUUCUUCAUGGGGUGUGAUUGCAUCCCCCUCCUCUCAACCAGCUGGUACAGAGCCUGAGAGAUGCACGAGAUGUGUUCAUCCCCGGCUCUGUGGCCCCAUGGACCCUUCUCCCAGAAGUACCAAAAAAAA